GGGUCAGUAGGUUGGUCGUGCCACCGGUACGUACUGGUCUCACUGAUUCCUCCUUCCUGAAUAACCGUAAUGCCAUUAAUUUUGUGUUGCGGGGAAACAGGACUGUUACUUUGAAAAAAUUAGAGUGUUUAAAGCAAGCUAACGCUUGAAUACAUUAGCAUGGAAUAAUGAAAUAGGACGAUCGAUCCUAUUUUGUUGGUUUCUAGGAUUGACGUA
rnacentral:rRNA from 1 species